AUGGGCUGUGGUAGGAUGAGCCCUGCCCUGCACCUGCUGCUGUUCCUGGCCAGCUGCUCCCUGCUCCAGGGGAUGCUACUGCGUCCACGGGAUGUGAAGCUGGAGGCACGGAACUUCCACGUCUGGCUGCACUGGAAGCCAGACCCCAGCUCACCCAGCUAUGCCACUUACGAGGUGGAGUGGAGGAACAGAACCUCGAACUGGACAAAGGCAGAUGCCUGCGGGGGGAACAGCAGAAGCUCCUGGGUGUGUGAGCUGUAUUUUGACAGGAUUCACGAUAUCUACUGGGCACGGGUGAGAGCGGUGGCCAGAGCAAUUGUUGGCCCCCCCAAGUUGUCCUGGCUGCUACAGGAUCAAAUCCUCAGCGUAAACAUCACCACACCACUCACUCCCUACCGGAGAAGAGCUGGUUCCUACAAGCCAGUCGACCGAGUGCUGCUGAAGCUGUGGUACUGGCUACACCUGUACGAGGGGAACCUGCUUGUCCAGCAGGUACCCUGCAAACGGAGCAGUGAGGAAGUGCCUUGCACCUUUGGGCAUCUGAAGCCCAGCACACAGUACUGUGUCCGGACGGUGGCUGCAGACAUGGCAAGGGAGCGGAGCCAGGAGGCUGAGCAGUGCCUGAUGACUCCAGCAGGCCCUGCAGGCUUUCCCUGGGUCCUUGCCAUGCCGAGUGCCUUCUUCCUGCUGCUGCUACUGAGUGUGGCUGGGCUCUACUUCAUCCAGCUGCAUGUCUUGCCCAGCCCUCCGGAGACGCGCCUCCCAAAAGCACUGGUGAGUGAAGAUCCUCCUCCAGCCUCUGCCUUCUGUGUAGCCAUAGCCGAGCCAGGGUUCCCUGCAUUUGCAGGGGCUCAGCACCUCCUUUCCUCCAACUCUCACACCACCAAGCCCAUCUUGGUACCCAGGUGCCUUCCCUGCUGUCUGAAGCACGGUCCCCCAAGGAGAAGGUACUGGUGGAGGGCAUCAGUCAGCCAUCCAUCACAGUGGAGGAUGGGGUCUCAGGCAGCGCAACCCUCAGUGUUCAGCAGUUUUUCACUCCUAAGCUGGCAGGGCUUUGGCCGGCUGAGGCUGACCAUGUCACUGCUUGUGUCCUCACAGGCUCUCCAGAACAGCGAGCUGAGUGUGGCCAUACAGGUGCCUCCCCUCGAGCUUGAGGAGAACCCACUGGCCCUGUUCCUGCAGACUGAGCUCCCCUCCCACAGGCCAUCCACAGCUGGGCAGGCAUCAACCACAGUCCCACAGCUCCUCUGCGGCCUUGCCCAGGAUGUGAGUGGCUACUGUGGCAAUGGGUUUGGCCCAGACUGCCCUGAGGGAAGGGACCCAUCCUGCACCCACAGCCAGCUGGGGCACGCCUGGGAUUCCCAGGUCCCAUCACGGCUGGAGAAGGAUGGGGAGACAGGUGAUAGGGAUCAUGUGCCAGAACAGCUGGUGCCAGUGGGACUGACUGGAAACAGCUACAUAGGUGACAGGGACAGCCAGACACCUCAGAUAUGGCUCCCCCUGCACCUCCAGCUUUACUUUAAAGGCCAGUGCCCAGCCCUGGGCGCAGGCAGCCACCUUCCUCUGCCCGUGCCGAGCAGGAGCUGCAGCCAGGAGUACCUGCAGGAGAGUCUCGGCACGGCUGGACACUGGGUCCGGCUCAGCUCCGUGAAGAUCCCGGCCAGUGCGGAGGAGGAGGGAGGGCAGCUCCUCUCUGCUCCCCAGCCCCUGCUGGGCGGCGAGACUGAGCCGGAGCCAGGUGACAGCGCCGUGCAGCGAGGCUACUCGGAGCAGGCAGAACUGGGUGUCUCCAGCCCCUGCCAGCUGCUCCCCUCGCCCCUCAGCGUCCUGCGGGCGCCUGCCUUCUCUGGCUACGAGCCACGUGCCCCAUCUGGCAGUGAGAAGUGGGGGCACCCUGGAGCUCCCGGGCUAUGA
ensembl:lncRNA